rnacentral:miRNA from 1 species
AAUCCGGGGAGAGGGUCAAGC